CCUACGAGAGGCAGCAGUGAGGAAUAUUGGUCAAUGGGCGCGAGCCUGAACCAGCCAAGUAGCGUGAAGGAUGACUGCCCUACGGGUUGUAAACUUCUUUUAUCAAGGAGUAAAGUGAGGCACGUGUGCCUUUUUGUAUGUUUUUUAUGAAUAAGGAUCGGCUAACUCCGUUCCAGCAGCCGCGGUAAUACGGAGGAUCCGAGCGUUAUCCGGAUUUUUUGGGUUUAAAGGGAUCGUAGGUGGGUAGUUAAGUCAGUUGUGAAAGUUUGCGGCUCAACCGUAAAAUUGCAGUUGAUACUGGCAGCCUUGAGUACAGGUGAGGUAGGCGGAAUUCGUGGUGUAGCGGUGAAAUGCUUAGAUAUCACGAAGAACUCCGAUUGCGAAGGCAGCCUACUA
rnacentral:rRNA from 1 species